AUGCACCGCAGCUCUCUCGUCCUCACUGCCUUCCUGGGACAACUGCUGGAUGCCAUGGGGCAGACCAUUGUCAGCCAGCAAGAAGGACAGGUCACAGUGGAGGAGAAAAACACCUUCCAGACCACCUGCACUUACCAGACAUCUUACUUGAAUGGCUUGUUUUGGUACCAGCAGAAGAAAGGCCAAGUCCCCCAGCUGGUCACAUACCAGGCAGCAGCAGGCUCCAAGCACAACGGCCGUUUCACCACGGGGCUGAACACCACCGGGAAAAACAGCCUCCUGCAGCUGGCAAAAGUCCAGCUGUCUGACAGCGCCUUGUACCUCUGUGCUGUGCAGGACACCCUGGUGCAGGGAGCUUCCUUGGCCGUGCAACAGCCCCAGUGAGGGAGGGGCUGUGUCUGUUGGAGGCGGAGCUCUGGGGAAGGGGCCCUCAGCUCUCCCCUGGCAGCGCUGCUUCCCCUGUGCGCACAGAGAUCUGCAGGUCAGCAUCCUCUUCCAGAAGAGACCGAUGUCUGUGGCUUGGGAGGAAUGAAAAGUGAUGAAAGGGACCCUGACCGGGAACUCCUCUCCAUGUGCACUCCUGGACAACCCAGUUUUUGCAUGGGCUGUGCAGAGAACACAUGCUGCACUGUGAUUUGUGUGCUCUGCUGUGCACUGAGGGCUUUAAGCAGGUGGUCUGAAACUCACCUGAUUGCAUGCAUGUCCGGAUAGCUUCACUGUUCUGUUUCUCCCCCUGUACUUAGCAUUAGUGAGGCUGCAUCUUGAGUAUUGUGUUCAGUUCUGGGGCCCAGGGAAGGGCAACAAAACUG